UACCCCACGCAACCCAGACUACAAAACAAAUAUUGACACACUCCUGGCAUCUUAUGUAAAUGACACAUGACAAUAAACUUGAUUGAAGAGGCAACUUUUACACACUGCCUUGUGGAGGAUAUUUAGGGAGAAGAUUCCAGAGCUUAAGGCCCUGACAGCUGAAGGCACAGACACCAACUUCGGUACAAUUAAAAUAGGGGAUGCACAAGGAAAGAGAAUUGGAGGAGCACAGCAAUGUCAGAAGAAUGCUGGGUAGAGCUCACAGAGAUGGGGGAGGGAAGUGAACCCAUGGGGGUAUUUGAAAAUAAGAUGAGAUUUUAAAGGAAGGAUGCACAUUUUUUCUACAUUCAUUAUAUUCCUUUUCUUCACAGAAUUGAUAAUGUACCAGAAGGGACAGACUAGUGUUGCCCCACUUUAUGAGAUCCAGCUCUGCUUUGGUGAGGAAUGGCCAGAUGGUAAACCCAAGGAAAAAAAGUUAAUCAUGGUGCAGGUGAUUCCCGUUGUGGCAAGGAUGAUGUUCGAGAUGUUUUCAGGAGAGUUGUCAUUCGACAGUGGGAGUAUCUGUCUGCAAAUCUCGAAUCCAGACCUUAAGGACAAUGUGGUGUUUCAAUUUAAAGAACUUCAUCGAUUACUUCAGUCCCAGCAGGGCCAGGGACAGUGGCCAGUACAGCCUACCAAUCUACAAUGAUGUUACAAAGUGCCCAAGAGGAGAAUAUAAACAUUCCAGAAUGCUGCCAUGGUUCCCGGGCUGUAAUUCUAAAUUUGCUGCUGACAAGUUUUAAAAGAAAACCAGGAGUUGGAGCCUAAAGAGGCAGUAGACAAACCCUUACUUUAUGCUGUUUAAUGCUGGAACUCUGAGUGGGAACAUAUAAGACAAACAAGCUCCCUUUAUUCCUUUAAUACUGAUUUAUGCAUUUCCUUUUGUAUUAUUACCUUCUCUUUAAAGGAUCAAGGGCCGCUUCAUCCUGCUUCUAUCAGAUUGCAACAUAAUGGAUGGCAUAGCAACUACUCUGAGGCAACUCAUUCUUAAUCCUAAUUUUAAUAAAAAAAAGCACCUGUCAAUGAUUUAAGACCUCAGAUCUGGGUGUCUAAAGAUGACCAGUUUCCUUUCUAUUUAGAAGUCAUAGCUGACUAUGUUUACUUAUUGCGAUCUUUUGAGGAGAUUCGCUGUAUAUCACUUGUAUAAGUAACAGUAGUUGCUACUGUGAUGAUCAUUGAUUUGGAUUGGAAAAGCCUGCAGCAUUGCUAACGGUAGAAUCAGGAACCAUCCAUUUCCAGGUGUGUCACCAGUGUACUUACCUUCAAUACUUGCUAGUUUUUGAUUUAUAUAUUUCUGCAAAAUAAAUAUUUUCGGCUUUUUUAAAAA